UCACUUAUCAGUGAUCACUCAUGAAGGGCCAAGACGUGACAAGUAAUGAACUAUUGAAUAAUUCAAAAACAUUUAUCAACUGACUAGACAACUUCCGCCACAACGGUUUUUGCAGCUUUCGUUCGACGACUGAUAUUUUUGACAAAAGUUUUAAUUAUCUCAAGAGAAAUAAAAUAAGAUGUGCAAUUAUUCCAUUCCAAAAAUAUUGCGUUCCACAGCAAAAUUACCAGAAACACCUGCCUAGGAACGCGUUGGAUAUGGAACAGGUGUGUUGUUUCUCAAGCAAUGUUAAUGUGCUCUAAUGUUAACCCAUAUGAUCACUUAAGUGUCAGUGAAUUCAAAUUGCAAAGAAAAGAUCAGUCUCCGUGGGUAGCAAAAAUUAUCAGUCGUUAUGCUGGUAGAUAUCGCAAACAGGAUACCAAUCGUCUGCAGCUGGAGGCCAAAGUAUUAUCGUCACUCAACCAUCCUAAUAUAAUUGGCUAUAGGGCAUUUGUCAAAAGACCUGAUAGUCGAGAAGUACUAUUAAUGACACAAUGCGAACAAAGCUUUAUCGAUUUGAUUGUAACGCGCAAGGAAGAGAAUCUUUGACCAUAUACUGUAAUAUAUCACAAAAGUUGCUAUAGACAUUGCAAAAGCAUUAGAUUAUUUACAUUCAUCUUUCAUAUAACACGGAGACAUACAAUCUGGAAAUAUUUUAGUGAAAAAUAACUUUGAGAUUGUAAAGUUUUGUGAUUUUGGUGUCAGUUUGCCAUUAAAAUUUGAUGGAACAUGGCAUAAAAUGAAGCAUUAUACAUUGGAACUCCUUGUUGGUCUGCUCCAGAAAUAUUUAAGGGUGAAAAAUGUAUGGGGGCAAUCAUCACAAGUAAAGCUAAUAUUUAGCAUAUUUCUAGCUUCUUCUGAUGACUCAUCUGCCCAUAAAGUUGAUGGGAAUUACAUAUCAGUUUCUACAUAGUUUUUAUGUAAAAAUUUGACGUAGGAGCAUUUUCUAUGUAAUUUGUAUACCUAUUGUAC